GUUGGAUAUGGUGAUGUUUACCCGAAAUCAACGCCCGGAAAGAUUGUUGGUUGUUUAUGCGCAGUAUGUGGUCUUCUUAUUUUGGCAAUGCCUAUAGCUAUUAUUGCAACAAAU
rnacentral:sRNA from 1 species